AUUGAACGCUGGCGGCAGGCUUAACACAUGCAAGUCGAGCGAGCGGCGGACGGGUGAGUAAUGUCUGGGAAACUGCCCGAUGGAGGGGGAUAACUACUGGACACGGUAGCUAAUACCGCAUACCAUCAGAUCGGCCCAUAUGGGAUUCGCUAGUAGGUGGGGUAAUGGCUCACCUAGGCGACGAUCCCUAGCUGGUCUGAGAGGAGGACCAGCCACACUGGAACUGAGACACGGCCCAGACUCCUACGGGAGGCAGCAGGGGGGAAUAUUGCACAAUGGGCGAAAGCCUGAUGCAGCCAUGCCGCGUGUGUGAAGAAGGCCUUCGGGUUGUAAAGUACUUUCAGCGGGGAGGCGUUACUCGCAGAAGAAGCACCGGCUAACUCCGUGCCAGCAGCCGCGGUAAUAC
rnacentral:rRNA from 1 species